rnacentral:lncRNA from 1 species
AGAGAUGACAAUCAGAUGGACAUCCACACCCAAAGCAAGUCAGGAGGACUGGCAUGCCCCUGUCUCCCCAGCACCCCAUUUGUAGCCUUUUCUCAGGUUGAGUAAAUAGUUCUGUAUUAGGAAAGGCCCUCUUGCCUCCACAACUCCUUCCCCACCUUGGUGACAUCAUUCAUCGUGGUUCUGCCACUUCCUAGACCCUGCACUUGAUGGACCAGCUGGCACCACCCAGAUCAAUAAACUGGCUUAUUUGAAUUUGCGGCCCCCCACCCAGGAACUGACUCAGUGCAAGAAGACAGCUUCGACUCCCUGUGAUUUCAUCUCUGACCAAUCCGCACUCCUGGCUCACUGGCUUCCCCAACCCAUGAAGUUUUCCUUAAAAACUCUGCUCCCGAAAUGCUCAGGGAGACUGAUUUGAUAACAAUAAAACUCUGGUCUCCCGCACAGCCGGCUCUGCGUGAAUUACUCUUUCUCUAUUGCAAUUCCCCUGUCUUGAUGAAUCUGCUCUGUCUAGGCAGCGAGCAAG